GUAACUAAUGCAAUUCCAUAGACCUGAUUAUGGUGCAAUUCCAUACCCUGACUGGGGAGUUGCUCUAGGCUGGUGUAUAAUAAUUUUCUACAUUAUUUGGAUUCCAAUUAUGGCUAUCAUAAAAAUAAUUCAGGCUAAAGAAAACAUCUUUCAAUGCCUUGUAAGUUGCUGCAGACUAGCUUCUAACUGGGUUCCAUACCUGGAACAACGUUCUGGGGAGAGAUAUAAAGGCAUGAUAUAUCCCCAAAAAGAGACUGACAGUGACAUACCUACUGUUAGUGGCAGCAGAAAACCAGAAUGA
rnacentral:lncRNA from 1 species